rnacentral:rRNA from 1 species
GACGAACGCUGGCGGCGUGCCUAAUACAUGCAAGUUGAGCGCUGAAGGUUGGUCCUUGUACCAACUGGAUGAGCAGCGCACGGGUGAGUAACGCGUGGGGAAUCUGCCUUUGAGCGGGGGACAACAUUUGGAAACGAAUGCUAAUACCGCAUAAAAACUUUAAACACAAGUUUUAAGUUUGAAAGAUGCAAUUGCAUCACUCAAAGAUGAUCCCGCGUUGUAUUAGCUAGUUGGUGAGGUAAAGGCUCACCAAGGCGAUGAUACAUAGCCGACCUGAGAGGGUGAUCGGCCACAUUGGGACUGAGACACGGCCCAAACUCCUACGGGAGGCAGCAGUAGGGAAUCGUCGGCAAGGGACGAAAGUCUGACCGAGCAACGCCGCGGGAGUGAAGAAGGUUUUCGGAUCGUAAAACUCGGUUGGUAGAGAAGAACGUUGGUGAGAGUGGAAAGCUCAUCAAGUGACGGUAACUACACAGAAAGGGACGGCUAACUACGUG